UACGUAGGUGGCAAGCGUUGUCCGGAAUUAUUGGGCGUAAAGCGCGCGCAGGCGGUCCUUUAAGUCUGAUGUGAAAGCCCACGGCUCAACCGUGGAGGGUCAUUGGAAACUGGGGGACUUGAGUACAGAAGAGAAGAGUGGAAUUCCACGUGUAGCGGUGAAAUGCGUAGAGAUGUGGAGGAACACCAGUGGCGAAGGCGACUCUUUGGUCUGUAACUGACGCUGAGGCGCGAAAGCGUGGGGAGCGAUCCGG
rnacentral:rRNA from 1 species